UACGUAGGGUGCAAGCGUUGUCCGGAAUUAUUGGGCGUAAAGGGCUCGUAGGCGGUUUGUCGCGUCGGGAGUGAAAACCCAGGGCUUAACUCUGGGCUUGCUUUCGAUACGGGCAGACUAGAGGUAUGCAGGGGAGAACGGAAUUCCUGGUGUAGCGGUGAAAUGCGCAGAUAUCAGGAGGAACACCGGUGGCGAAGGCGGUUCUCUGGGCAGUAACUGACGCUGAGGAGCGAAAGCGUGGGGAGCGAACAGG
rnacentral:rRNA from 1 species